UUCUAUUUUAUUAUUCAUUAUUGUUAAUUUCUUACUUUUGCCCAAUUUAUAAGUUAAGUUUUAUCACAGGGAACAAAUGCUGAAGAAGCCAAGAAUUGGUUAAAUGAAGGCAAAUGGCCCUUUUUGCUAGAAUGAUGGGGCAGAAGGUGGGAAAAGACAGA
rnacentral:lncRNA from 1 species